CCCUUAGAUGUUCUGGGCCGCACGCGCGCUACACUGUUCGACGCAGCGAGUCUUAACCUUGACCGAAAGGUUUGGGUAAUCUUCAGCAAAGUCGAACGUGAUGGGGAUCGAUCAUUGCAAUUAUUGAUCGUGACCGAGGAAUUCCUAGUAAGUGCAAGUCAUCAGCUUGCGCUGAUUACGUCCCUGCCCUUUGUACACACCGCCCGUCGCUACUACCGAUUGAAUGGUUUAGUGAGAUCUCUGGAUUGACGCUGGCUAGGGGGCGACCCUUGGCCAGACUGUUGAGAAACUGCUCAAACUUGAUCAUUUAGAGGAAGUAAAAGUCGUAACA
rnacentral:rRNA from 1 species